UUAAUAUUCUUCGUUUUAGUAUAUUGCGGUCUUGUUAUUGUAAUCUAACACUGUAGUGUGAUACACAUGUACACUAUAUAUGCAAAAUUCAUCAGUGAAACCCAAAAUAUAGAUAUAACUUUAUCAUUAUUUAUACAACUGCUCGCCAAAUCAAAAUGCUUGAAAUUGCCUUCUAAUUUUUCUAUGUACUAAGUUGCUAUGCACGAAUGACCACAAGGG
rnacentral:lncRNA from 1 species